UGUGAUUUUAGGCUGAUUAUUUGGUACU
rnacentral:piRNA from 1 species